GCUGGGCGUGGUGGCGCACGCCUGUAAUCCCAGCGGCUCUGGAGGCUGAGGCAGGAGGAACAUGAAUUCAAAGCCAAUUCAGUGAGACCCUGCCUCUA
rnacentral:sRNA from 1 species